AUUCCAUGAUGUGGGCAUCUCCUUUGCAAUUCCUUAAAUCAUUCCCAUGCAUCAUAUAAAUCCCCCAUAAAAAUUUUCUACAUAACUGAUCAAUCUCAUUAAUUACACU